UAGGGAAUCUUCGGCAAUGGACGGAAGUCUGACCGAGCAACGCCGCGUGAGUGAAGAAGGUUUUCGGAUCGUAAAGCUCUGUUGUAAGAGAAGAACGAGUGUGAGAGUGGAAAGUUCACACUGUGACGGUAACUUACCAGAAAGGGACGGCUAACUACGUGCCAGCAGCCGCGGUAAUACGUAGGUCCCGAGCGUUAUCCGGAUUUAUUGGGCGUAAAGCGAGCGCAGGCGGUUUGAUAAGUCUGAAGUUAAAGGCUGUGGCUCAACCAUAGUUCGCUUUGGAAACUGUCAAACUUGAGUGCAGAAGGGGAGAGUGGAAUUCCAUGUGUAGCGGUGAAAUGCGUAGAUAUAUGGAGGAACACCGGUGGCGAAAGCGGCUCUCUGGUCUGUAACUGACGCUGAGGCUCGAAAGCGUGGGGAGCGAACAGGAUUAGAUACCCUGGUAGUCCACGCCGUAAACGAUGAGUGCUAGGUGUUGGAUCCUUUCCGGGAUUCAGUGCCGCAGCUAACGCAUUAAGCACUCCGCCUGGGGAGUACGACCGCAAGGUUG
rnacentral:rRNA from 1 species